AAUGACCUACCUUGUCUUUUAGGCUUUGGCUCUGGCAAAGUUUGAAGGGACCUUGUUAAAUGUUGUCAACGCCCAUUAUUAUAAACCUGGCUCAUAUUCUCCAGGGAUAAUUGCCGGUUUGAUUCUGUAUCUAGGAUCGCCCAAUCAUUCCCUUAAAGGGGAAGGAAAAAAUAUGUUUUUCUGGGGAAAGCAUACUUUUUUUUCACUUAAGGAUUAUGCAACCUAUGUCACAUUGCAUGUCUGCUUCUCUUUAACUUCUUUUCAAAGAUGGGAGACACAGCCCCUUAUCCUGUGGAGAAGAGCUCAUCUUCCUUAAAAUGUUAUGGCUUUUUGUAUAUGCACCGUCUUACUUUCUCAUGGAUGUCUUAAGGUACCACACCACUGUAGGGGAAGCUGUAGCCACACCUGCUUAGGGGCUGGCUACAGGUCUGCCUGACCACGCAUGCGAGGGCGUGGUCAGGGUGAUGUAGAGUAAGAGACAGUCAGGGGCCAUUUUUGGUUUCAGUUUCAUUUUCGGCUUGCUGUACAGACUGCUGCCCGCUGGCUGGCUAGGUCGCUCUGUUUUUGCUUCUGGCAAAUGUAUCUGAACAUCAGUUGCUUACUACAGCCUGCUCCUAAAGACUUCAAGCCUUGGACUUGCUGUGGAUGUGAACCAGUCUAGCUGAUGUGGACACCUCCUGUCUCUUCAACAGUCUGACAACCAGCUGCUUCUGAUGGAUUCCCCAUUGCCUGAAUUCCCUUUUUGCUUUUAACGAGCACUUCAGCCUUCUUAGGUCCCUAACAAUGCCCCAGAGUCAGCAGGAAGUAAAAUGGGAAAGCAUAUGUUGCCCCUUUUCCCUGAUUGAGAUGCUAAGUCAAAAAGGAAACUCCCUUAUAUAGGGGACAAUAUGACAACAGAAGCAAAUGUCAUUCCCUCAGAAAAAUCUGUCAGCUAAUGGCAGGACCUGUUAACACCCCUUUGAGCCCCUAACAGGCAGGACUCAAUCCUGAGUCCUGCCACUGGUACUUUGAGAAGGGGGAAUGAAGGGACUAUACCGCACCACCACGUUUUAGCAGCCAUGACAGGCUAACAGGUGCUUGCCUGACCUUGCUGGACAUGUCAUGGUCACCAGGAGGUCAGAUGCCCACCUUGUUGCAAGGAACCAAUCAAAAGUUAGCUGACAGAGCUGUGCUUUACAGCUCGGCUCUGGGUGUGUUUUACAGACAAGUGCACAACAGCGAUGUGAAAAGCAUAGCAACCGCCCAAGGAGGGCCUAUGGGUCAUAACAACCAGUUGACCAAUCAACACCGGGUAGGCCAUCCAAGCCUGGAAGUACACGAAUCCUGAGACAACACUCCCCUUAGGCUGCCCUAUAAGAUCCCUUCCUCGUGGUUUCUCAGGAUCGUUCUCCAACCAUCUGCCAUAGUGGAGAGAUGAAGGGCCCGAAUUAAUGGAGUUAGUUUGUUAAACAACAGCAAUAAAAGACACAUUGCUUUUGCAUCGAAAUGGGCCUGUUGGUGAUUUGGGGGUUUCAGAAUUUGGGCACAACUGUACGCCAAGUGACUAAGCAGCAUUCAUUCAUGGCCUCUGCUUUGGUUCUUGCCUCUGGGUUCUGCCUCCAGGUUCCUGCCUUUGAGUUCCUGCCCAGAUUUACCUUCACAAUGGACUAUGCUUAUUAAUGCAGCUCUCAGUCCUCACCAAAGAAGAGUUUUCCAGUGGACAAGUUAAUACAGAGAUUCACAACUGGCUGACAAGCAAAGAAUAUCUGAUUAUGGAAUGCCUAGUUCCUAAAGAAACAUCUGUGCUAACCCAACCCCACCACCAAGGCUUAGGGACCAUCAAGGAAAACAGGGCCGGAAGUUGGGCAGAGGGACUGCACUGAAAUAUCCUGGGUAUUCAGAGGCACUCAUAGACUCACUGAAACUGUUGUUACCUGCACAAGUACCAAAUAAGAUUGACUCUGUCCUUAUUUCAUCAGGGAAGAGGGAAGAGCUCAUGAGUUCUCAUCCAUCCCUGAAGGAUUAUUGACAGUUGAUGGUGACUGGGGGAAGAAUGUCACUUUCUUCAGUGGUGUGACUACAGAUGAGCUGUUCAUGCUUCAGUGUAGGGGAAACCUUACCCAUGCCUACUAGGGACUGCCUACAGGUAUGCCUGUGAUCAGGGUGACAUAGUGAAGGUUUAAGAGUGAGGGGAAAGCACAUGAAACUCCCUUUCCUUUUCAUCAUUGGCUUGCUGUACUUACUCCUGCCCUGCCAGCUGGCUAGGUCACUCUGUAAGUAAGUCUUUUCCCUAAUAAAUACCCUUAUAUUUAACCUGACUCAGUAUUGGUAAAUUCCCACAUUAUUCUGGUGUCAGAAGCAGGAUCUUGUAAACUUAAGUCCGGUUUGGGACUGCCUGCAGGUCCCAUCUGGAUAGCGGAAUAGCCAGCCAGGGAAAGCCCCCUCUCUCCACAG
rnacentral:lncRNA from 1 species